AAGGAGAGGGUUGGGUCGAGGGGGACUGGUUCGAUCUAGGUUUCCAGGGGGGAUGGACAAGCAAAUACAAUAAAAAAACAUAUGACAGGUGUGUAGUUGCAAAUGCCUGGCUAAUCCUAUGCGCAAGAACAGGAUCAGACCGAGAGUGGAUUCGAGAGGUGGAAGACGCUCGUUGUGCUGCUGAACAACCACUGCAGCUUUUCGUGGUUUUCUGUUAUUGACAGCCAGCUCAAACGGAGCGGCUUUGGACCAAGGAAAUAGUGUCCCCACAGCGGACCUACAGAUCGUGCCAUCCCACGAUGUCCACCGAGAUCAACCCUACAAUCUCGCCACGACCUGCGUGAUCCAUGCCAUCCCACGGCGCGUCGUCGGGCGAGCUACAAAAACGCUGAGAAAAGCAAACUACCUGAAGCCUGUACGUGCACAACGAACACGCUGACAGACUGAACUUAUUUGCGCUACCAGAACUAGGCAAGCUAACACAAGAUACCAAUGGAAGCAGCUGAUUACCUAUCAUUCACCCCCUAAUCUGCUGCACCUCAAUCACCCCGAGCCUGUGUCGGAGCUCACUGAACUGCGUUCUUGCGAGGGACUUCGUGAGGAUAUCAGCCACCUGAUCACCAGUCCGAACAUGCUCCACUUCCACCCUGCCUUGUUCAACACAUUCUCUGAUGUAGCGAUACCUGAGAUCUAUGUGUUUGCUCCUCUCAUGGUGGACGGGAUUCUUGCUAAGUUCGAUGGCCGACUUGUUGUCGAUUUUCAGCUUCACUUUCCGAGCAUCUUCUCCCAAUAUCUCCGCAAGAAGUCUGCUCAACCAAACUGCUUGUGUAGCAGCUGUUGCUCCUGCUAUAUAUUCAGCUUCACAGGAUGACAGAGCUACAAUUCUUUGCUUCUGCGAGCACCAUGUGAUCACCCCUGAUCCAAGAUAGAACACCACACCUGAUGUGCUCUUCCGAUCGUUUAGAUCACCAGCAUGGUCACUGUCAGAGUAACCUGUGAGUACAUCUCUCUCUCCUUUCCUGAAGAUGCAUCCGUACCCCUGAGUGCCCUUGAUAUAUCGGAGGAUCUGCUUCACUGCUGACCAAUGCUCCUUGCCAGGAGAUUCCAUGAACCUGCUGACCAGACCUACUGCAUAUGCGAUGUCAGGCCUGGUGUUCACCAGGUACCUAAGACUCCCAAUCAAGCUGCGGUAUUCGGUUGCAUCCUUCACCUCCCCAGUGUUCUUCAGUUUCAGGCGGUUCUCAAGAGGUGUGCUGCUAGGAUUACAAUCCCUCAUGCCUGCAUCAUCGAGAAUCUUGGAAGCAUAGCUCGACUGACACACUGUGAUUGCAUCCUCAUCCUGUUUCACCUCAAUGCCUAAGUAGUAACUGAGGAGGCCAAGAUCUGUCAUCUGGAACGAUUCCUGCAUCUGGCUCUUGAAAUGAUCAAUAUCGUCUGCAUCCAUCCCCGUGAUGAUCAAAUCAUCCACGUACAGUCCGACCAGCAGAAACUUGUUGCUGUCUCCUCGCCUGUACAGCGCAUGGUCAAGCUCACAGCGCUCGAAACCGAAAGAACGGAGUGUGGCAUCCAGCUUUGCGUUCCAAGCACGAGGUGCCUGACGAAGCCCAUACAAAGCCUUCCUGAGCUUGAGCACGCAGUGUGUAUUGUCUUUGUCAACAAAUCCCGCAGGUUGGUGAACAUAAACUUCUUCUUGCAGGUCUCCGUUCAGAAAAGCCGAGCGCACGUCCAUGUGGUGCACCCCCCAGCUCCGGUGAGCCGCCACUGCCAGCAGCAGCCGCACUGUUUCCAAACGAGCCACAGGAGCAAAAACCUCGUCGAAGUCUACUCCCUGCCGCUGUGCAUAUCCUUUCGCUACCAGACGUGCCUUGUACUUCAUGAUAUUUCCCGCUGGAUCACGCUUGACCUUGAACACCCAUUUCAAACCAAUGGCGCGGUGGCUGGCGGGCAGUGCAGCCAGCUCCCAGGUGUUGUUGGAUCGAAUGGAUUCCAUCUCUGUUUCCAUCGCACCUCGCCAUGUUGGUUCGUCCAGAGCUUCCUGGACUGAUGCUGGCUCCUCUGCUGCGGAGAGACAUAGCCCACUGUACUCCAAAGUGCAGGCCGGUGCAUUAUCGAUGAGGUGCUCCACCGUUUUGUAGCGGAGGGGCACCCCCUCGCUAUCAAAAGUCUCACCAGCUGGUGGUGUUGCCCAUCCAUCUUCAGGUUCGAUGGGAACAGUUGUUGGUGUGGCACUUGCUGUGGCGACUGUUUGUGAAACUUCUGCAGUUGAUGAGCUUGCUCCAGGGUCGGCGGGAGCAGGGGUGAACGGGGACAGUGGUGCAUCUGUGCAGGCAGAUGGAGGCCUGUCCGUUCCCAGCGAGUACGUGGUCGAAACUGGUGUUGUGGCAUCGGAGUAGAUCACCGUCAGCUCUCUGCUGCUGAUGUGCCUGCUGUCGUCCUCCAUGGCUCUCCAGUCCCACCGGCGGUCUUCCUCAAAGCGCACGUCGCGGGUGACGUAGAGCCGCUUCCCGGCAGGGUCGUAGACCCUGUACCCCUUCGUCCCUGGUUCAUAUCCCAGGAACACUCCGGCGACAGUGCGAUCUGAGAGUUUGCUGACGCCGGGGCCGACCACCUUGACGUGCGCCACACAGCCAAAAAUGCGGAAGUACUCAACAGAUGGUUUCUUCUUACGCCAUGCCUCAUAUGGUGUCAUCCCCUGCAAGCUUCUUGACGGUGAUCGAUUCAGAAUGUGCACAGCCGUUCUCACGGCUUCGCCCCAGAACUCGCUCGGGACCCCCAUGCUCUUCAUCAGACUGCGCGCCAUCUCCACCACGGUUUGGUUGCGCCGCUCUACAACGCCAUUCUGCUGGGGCGAGUAUGGAGCCGUGGUGUGACGGAGGAUGCCAGCCUCCUCGCAGUAUGCAGUGAAUUCGGUGGAGUUGAAUUCGCCACCGCGAUCGGUGCGGAACGCCCUAAGCCUGACGCCGCUCUGUGUUUCUGCCUCCGCUUUGAUCUUCCUGAAACGCCGGAACGCCUCGUCCUUGCUUCUGAGCGCUUCAACCCACAUGUAUCUGCUAUAGUCAUCAACUAUCAACAGAAAAUACUUGUUACCGCUCAUGGUCGCCGGCGUGAUGGGGCCGCAGAGGUCGCCGUGCACCAGGUCAAGGCCAUGCUCUGCUCGGUACGGUGAGGCGCGGGGAAACGGCGUGCGGUGCAUCUUCCCGAUCGUACAUCCCUCGCAGAACUGCUCCACAUGCUUGAUCGCCGGUAUGCCCCUCACCAUCCCCUUAGCGCCGAGGUCGUGCAGUGCUCGGAAGUGCAGAUGCCCGUAUCUCCCAUGCCAGCGCCAGGCUUCAUCGCCGCCUGUCGCCAGGAGGCACGCGGGAGCAGCCAAGUUCAGAGCCACGGCAUAGAGCCGGUUGCUCGUCCGCUGCACCCGCGCCAGGAGCACCUGCUGUCGAUCAUACAGGCAGAGCACACCCCCCUGGAUCACAGACUUGCAUCCGUGUUCAUCAAGCUGUCCGAGGCUUACAAUACUUGUGCGCAGCUGGGGUAUAUAGUAUACGUCCGUGAGAGCGCGGUGCUCUCCGUUCUUGCAGGAGAACAUCACCAUGCCACGCCCGCGGAUAUGCACGACAGAGCCGUCACCAAAACGCACCGUCCCAUGCACACCUUCAUCGAGCUCCGUGAGCAUAUCGCGGCGGCCCGUCAUAUGGUUGCUAGCGCCGGUGUCGAGGUACCAGCGAUCAUCAUCUGUGGCCACUGGCACCACACGCGCCUCGUUGAGAAAGAUCUCGUCAUAGGGUGCGCCAGCGUUGGCCACAGUGUUCGGCGCAGCCUCCAUAGCGCAUGUGGCCAGGAGUAGACCGGGCUGCUCGACGUCAGCCACGGCGACGUUCGCCUGCUGGUCCUGCUGCUCGCGUUGUUCGCGCUCCUUCUUGCGGCACUCCUUCACCCAGUGUCCCUGGAUCCCGCAGUAGCGGCAGUUGCCCUUUCGCCGGGGAGCCGUCUGACCUCCGUUGCCGCGGCCGCCGCCUUGGCCACGUCCACCUCCUCCUUGGAAGUUCUUAGGCUUCCCAUUUCCGCGCCUGCGUCGAUCUCCCGAGCCUGAAGGCGAGCCUCCCUGUUCCAGCUGCUUUUCCCGAGCCCGCCAUUCGUCGGCGGUAAACAGCAGCUGCGUACCCGGGGCAGGUGUCUCCUCACGUUCGCGCUCCUCGACGACGAGCAGACGUCCGCACAGCUCCUCGAGGGAGAGCUGUUUGGUGUCUACCAGGGACUCUAUCGCCACGGCCAUCUCUCUAUAUGGCCGCGGGACCGUGCGCAGUACCUUGAGGACUGCUUUGUGUUCGUCCACGGGAUCACCAAGAACUUGGAGCUCGUCGAUGAUCGUCCUGAGCCUCGUGACAUAGGACUCGAUGCCCUCGCCGUCCUUGUACCGCAGGCCUUCGUAUUCAGAGCGGCGGGUCUGCGCCUUUGCCUCGCGAACGCGCUCGACGCCGACGCGCAUCGUCUUCAGUGUGUCCCAUGCCUCCUUGGCAGUGGCCUUCCCACCGAGGACUCGCAUCAUGUCUGUCGGUACGGCCUUGAGGAGGGCGAUCAUGGCGCGUCGAUCGUCGCGGUCCGAGCCUUCGCCCGUGUCCACAACCUGCCAGAGUUCGUCAGCUUGUAACUGCAGCUUGGUGAUCAUCGCCCAGUCGUUGUAGUUUGUUCGCGUGAGCAUCAUCGGAGGGCCGCCGCCGCCGCCGUGUACGACGCGCACUCCUGAUCCCUCCGCGGUGGUGAGGCGCGCCAAGGGCCUCUCCAGAGCCGCCGCGUCCGCAGCAGCUUUCUGCGUCACCUUCGUCCCCUCAUUAUCGCUGCCAGUCAUUGCUCCGGCGGAUCGGACACCGCCGGUCACUUGGUCGGACGAACACCUCCCAAGGCUCUGAUGCCAAUUGUAGUUGCAAAUGCCUGGCUAAUCCUAUGCGCAAGAACAGGAUCAGACCGAGAGUGGAUUCGAGAGGUGGAAGACGCUCGUUGUGCUGCUGAACAACCACUGCAGCUUUUCGUGGUUUUCUGUUAUUGACAGCCAGCUCAAACGGAGCGGCUUUGGACCAAGGAAAUAGUCUCCCCACAGCGGACCUACAGAUCGUGCCAUCCCACGAUGUCCACCGAGAUCAACCCUACAAUCUCGCCACGACCUGCGUGAUCCAUGCCAUCCCACGGCGCGUCGUCGGGCGAGCUACAAAAACGCUGAGAAAAGCAAACUACCUGAAGCCUGUACGUGCACAACGAACACGCUGACAGACUGAACUUAUUUGCGCUACCAGAACUAGGCAAGCUAACACAAGAUACCAAUGGAAGCAGCUGAUUACCUAUCAAGGUGGGGCUCAAAAAAAUGAGUGGUUCGACCUAGAAACCACGACUAGUCGUGGCUAGUCGAGACCCUGGAAAUGCGACUCACCGACUAGUCGAGCGACUCAAAAACAGAGUGAUCUGGCACGACGGCGCUUGUUGCUGGGUUGCAUGACGGGCGGGUGGUGGUGACCUCCGGGGCAUCUCCAGGGAAAACCCCAGAUCUCGUUGGGAUCGAGCGAUGGCGGUGCUUCUGCGUCCUAGUCCCUCUUUUAGGGCAUUGUGUGUGGAGCCUGCACUGGUUGGAGGGACCAGUGGUAACAGUGCCGAGGUUGUGGUGACCUCGUUUCUUCGUGCCGUUGGGCCUUUGGAGCGGGAUCUAUAGUGACUUACGGAGGGGAGGUAGUGGCUAUCGGCAGUUGUUGUUGCG
rnacentral:lncRNA from 1 species